GACGUAGGGGGCCAGCGUUGCUCGGAAUUACUGGGCGUAAAGGGUUCGUAGGCGGUGUGGCAAGUCGGGAGUGAAAUCUCUGGGCUUAACUCAGAGGCUGCUUCCGAAACUGCCGUGCUAGAGUGCGGGAGAGGCGAGUGGAAUUGCAGGUGUAGCGGUGAAAUGCGUAGAUAUCAGGAGGAACACCGGUGGCGAAGGCGGGUCUCUGGGCAGUAACUGACGCUGAGGAGCGAAAGCGUGGGGAGCGAACAGG
rnacentral:rRNA from 1 species